rnacentral:misc_RNA from 1 species
UUUGGUAUCUCUACUAACUGUCCCACUAAAGUCCUGAGUUUUACCUCUUAGUAACUAGUGGCAAGGGUUGCGCUCGUUGCGUCACUUAAGACAACAUCUCACGACACGAGCUGACGACAGCCAUGCAGCACCUGUGUCUAGGCUCCCUUACGGGCACUCUCAUAUUUCUACAAGAUCCCUAGCAUGUCAAGAGCAGGUAAGGUUUUUCGCGUUGCAUCGAAUUAAUCCACAUCAUCCACCGCUUGUGCGGGUCCCCGUCAAUUCCUUUGAGUUUUAAUCUUGCGACCGUACUCCCCAGGCGGUCUACUUCUCGCGUUUGCUUAGCUACUUGGUAAUCUCUUACCCAACAGCUAGUAGACAUCGUUUAGGGCGUGGACUAC